AGUGAACGCUGGCGGUAGGCCUAACACAUGCAAGUCGAACGGCAGCACAGUAAGAGCUUGCUCUUACGGGUGGCGAGUGGCGGACGGGUGAGGAAUACAUCGGAAUCUACUUUUUCGUGGGGGAUAACGUAGGGAAACUUACGCUAAUACCGCAUACGACCUACGGGUGAAAGCAGGGGAUCUUCUGACCUUGCGCGAUUGAAUGAGCCGAUGUCGGAUUAGCUAGUUGGCUGGGUAAAGGCCCACCAAGGCGACGAUCCGUAGCCGGUCUGAGAGGAUGAUCAGCCACACUGGAACUGAGACACGGUCCAGACUCCUACGGGAGGCAGCAGUGGGGAAUAUUGGACGAUGGGGGCAAGCCUGAUCCAGCCAUACCGCGUGGGUGAAGAAGGACUUCGGGUUGUAAAGCCAUUUUGUUGGGAAAGAAAAGCAGCAGGUUAAUACCCCGCUGUUCUGACGGUACCCAAAGAAUAAGCACCGGCUAACUUCGUG
rnacentral:rRNA from 1 species